rnacentral:rRNA from 1 species
AUUGAACGCUGGCGGCAUGCCUUACACAUGCAAGUCGAACGGUAACAGGUCUUUCGGGAUGCUGACGAGUGGCGAACGGGUGAGUAAUACAUCGGAACGUGCCUAGUAGUGGGGGAUAACUACUCGAAAGAGUGGCUAAUACCGCAUGAGAUCUAUGGAUGAAAGCAGGGGACCUUCGGGCCUUGUGCUACUAGGGCGGCCGAUGGCAGAUUAGGUAGUUGGUGGGAUAAAAGAUUACCAAGCCUGCGAUCUGUAGCUGGGCUGAGAGGACGGUCAGCCAAACUGGGACUGAGACACGGCCCAGACUCCUACGGGAGGCAGCAGUGGUGAAUUUUGGACAAUGGGGGAAACCCUGAUCCAGCAAUGCCGCGUGCAGGAUGAAGGCCUUCGGGUUGUAAACUGCUUUUGUACGGAACGAAAAGUCUUGGGUUAAUACCCUGGGAUCAUGACGGUACCGUAAGAAUAAGCACCGGCUAACUACGUGCCAGCAGCCGCGGUAACAC